UAGGGGUGAUGGCGUGCCUUUUGUAGAAUGAACCGGCGAGUUACGUUCCCGUGCAAGGUUAAGGUGAGAAGCCGUAGCCGCAGCGAAAGCGAGUCUGAAUAGGGCGACGAAGUACGUGGGCGUAGACCCGAAACCGUGUGAUCUACCCCUGUCCAGGGUGAAGGUGCGGUAACACGCACUGGAGGCCCGAACCCACGAAUGUUGAAAAAUUCGGGGAUGAGGUGGGGGUAGCGGAG
rnacentral:rRNA from 1 species